CUGGCUGACGAACAAGAUGCUUAAGCCACCACUACUGCUCUUGCAGGUAUUGCCGUGGAUUUUCACCGCCACAACAACGAACAACGGACUACUGGCUUUCUUCCGAGUACCUCGUGGCAAUGACACCGUGGACUGCACUAUCUUUGAUCAACGUUCCGCAAGUGUGACGUCAUCACUCGACAUCGUACUUAAGGAGCCUCGAUGCGACAUUCGCUUCAGAGGGCACGGCACCUGGCUGACGAACAAGAUGCUUAAGCCACCACUACUGCUCUUGCAGGUAUUGCCGUGGAUUUUCACCGCCACAACAACGAACAACGGACUACUGGCUUUCUUCCGAGUACCUCGUGGCAAUGACACCGCGGACUGCACUAUCUUUGAUCAACGUUCCGCAAGUGUGACGUCAUCACUCGACAUCGUACUUAAGGAGCCUCGAUGCGACAUUCGCUUCAGAGGGCACGGCACCUGGCUGACGAACAAGAUGCUUAAGCCACCACUACUGCUCUUGCAGCCUCGUCGCCGUUGUUUUCCCGAGGACGAGAACCGUUUUCGGGCUGUGGCGUCGGCCACUUCGUUCCCCCACCAGGAAGCCGUGUCCCAGGGUCCAGACAAUGAGAAAGAAAAUGACAAGUGAUUGAAACUUCGAUACACAAGAAACCGUACACCACAAUCAGCAGCACUGACACAGUCGUUAGCAGGAGUUAUCGUCUUAUUGAGAAUGAUGAACAUUGCGCUGGACAGUGAAACCACUUGCAAAACAAUGUUUUAGAUUCUUACUUGAAUCAACUUUCUCACAAUAAUAAGAAAAACAGAGCGCCAACCAAAUUUAUUUCUUUCUGUUAUGGCAUGACUUCCCGACCAGACGAGAUUUCUUCGGAGUCUUGAUUUGAUUCAAGCUUUCUUAUAUUCUAAGAGUGUCUUGGUAGUUGGAGACAUAUGAUGGUUAUAGGACUUCACUUUAGUAGAACUGAUCUCGUAAAUGUGGUCAGCUCAUGGCCAUCAAAGAUAGCACUGCGAAAGACAUUUCUUGCACUGAAACAUUGCUUGGAAAAAGCAAGAAUGUUACAUGGUACCCACUCACAGGCCAGAAUUAUGUAUGUGAUACACACUUUUUGACGAUUUGUGUCCAUGUGCGCAUAUUGUGUAAUAAGUGUUAUAGUCUUCUGCGUGCGUCCUGUGCGACGAAUGAGCCCUUGACUGCCGUGGUUUUCUGUGUGUGUGUGUUAUUCAUAUCUGCUUGCUUCAUCCAGCAUUCGCACAUGUCUUACCAAUCGAGGCCUCGCGUAUGUGCGACGGAGUCUGUAUACGCAUAUAUGCAAGUACUUGGUAUAGUUCUUGGUGCAACUUGUAUUUGACUUUUGUCCUUGCUGCAGCGUACCUAUGGUUUAGGCGGUUUUUCAUAACUGAUCUCAGCUAACUCGGUUCUGUACUUAUCAAACACCUGAUGGUUCAUCAUAUCUUCUAAUAGUUCGUCUAAUAUUACUAUGUUAUCUACAAAGCUGUAGCAAGUAAUAUAUAUGGGGUGACUAAAUUUGUUUCCUUUAUUAUAUUUCUUUACAAAACAAGACCUAUACGCUCAUGCUUAGUCUCAUAAACUUUCUUGGAACACAUCUAAAGAAAAGGACAGUGAAGUUCUCAGUCUUCAUACAUAGUAGAAUAGGUUCGAAAACUUUUUAACAGUAAUACAGACGGCUUCCACAGUGGCGAACUUCAGGACGAUUAGCUUCUCGUGGCUCUCUAUAGAAAACAUGUGCCGGACAUUUGUGCUACCUUGAGAGCAACAAAAACGGGCUAACAGUUGUAGUGCCUAGCGCUCUGUGGACUGUGCAUGGUAGUGAGACUAAGAUAGAGAAUUACCAGAGCUAUGACAUAACGAUGAUGACGUACUUGAGAACUAUGACAGCCAAUGACGCUACCAAGAGCAGAACCCCAUGUAGAGUGUGUACUGGAUGAAGACGACAGCCCUUGGCACUACAGUACGACGGCGAUUGCAGGAGAGGUAAUACAGCGACGUCAAAACCCAUAGCAAGAGCUGUACGGGAAGAAAACGGAGCAUCGCGGGAUUGAGAAAGACUCUUAUGCAAGGUUCUACGUUACUUUGAAACUUUUGUACAGAGAAAGUAUACAUAAAUAGGAAUAAAACAUUUAUCUCCCUGUGCC